ACGAACGCUGGCGGCGUGCUUAACACAUGCAAGUCGAACGGAAAGACCCUGCUUUUGUGGGGUGCUCGAGUGGCGAACGGGUGAGUAACACGUGAGUAACCUGCCCUUGACUUUGGGAUAACUUCAGGAAACUGGGGCUAAUACCGGAUAGGAGCUCCUGCUGCAUGGUGGGGGUUGGAAAGUUUCGGCGGUUGGGGAUGGACUCGCGGCUUAUCAGCUUGUUGGUGGGGUAGUGGCUUACCAAGGCUUUGACGGGUAGCCGGCCUGAGAGGGUGACCGGCCACAUGGGGACUGAGAUACGGCCCAGACUCCUACGGGAGGCAGCAGUGGGGAAUAUUGCACAAUGGGCGGAAGCCUGAUGCAGAAACGCCGCGUGCGGGAUGACGGCCUUCGGGUUGUAAACCGCUUUCGCCUGUGACGAAGCGUGAGUGACGGUAAUGGGUAAAGAAGCACCGGCUAACUACGUG
rnacentral:rRNA from 1 species